GCAUAACGCGAAGAACCUUACCCACCUUUGACAUGUACGGAAUCCUUUAGAGAUAGAGGAGUGCUCGAAAGAGAGCCGUAACACAGGUGCUGCAUGGCUGUCGUCAGCUCGUGUCGUGAGAUGUUGGGUUAAGUCCCGCAACGAGCGCAACCCUUGCCAUUAGUUGCUACAUUUAGUUGAGCACUCUAAUGGGGACUGCCGGUGACAAACCGGAGGAAGGUGGGGAUGGACGUCAAGUCCUCAUGGCCCUUAUAGGUGGGGCUACGACACGUCAUACAAUGGCUGGUACAAAGGGGUUGCCAACCCGCGAGGGGGAGCGUAAUCCCAUAAAGCCAGUCGUAGUCCGGAUCGCAGUCUGCAACUCGACUGCGUGAAGUCGGAAUCGCUAGUAAUCGUGGAUCAGAAUGUCACGGUGAAUACGUUCCCGGGUCUUGUACACA
rnacentral:rRNA from 1 species